UGUAUUGACUGUCCAAUUCCAGCCACGAAUCUGCUUGACAAAAUAUCUGUAAAUAAUACUGAGAGCUUCUUAUGCUGAUUAUCCUUCCAUUCAAAAACUGCUGUCUAUGCUGAAAUAUUUUUAAUUGCAUCAGGUGAACUGAAAAUGCAAUUCUCCAAACACUGAACAUUUCUAAACUGGAAAAACUGUAAGGAAUCAAUAGAAACUUCUACCUUCUAUAGCUGUCCCCUGCCUCUGGCUCAUUUUUGCUUCUCUGCCUUCUCCAGAAUCUGCUGAUUG